UUUGAUGUAGGCCCAAUAGUCAUACCACCACGCACCUUUUUUUCUUCCAAGAAAAACAACCUGUUUCCCUUGAAAAAAUACAAUGCACUAUGCUCUUAUCUCGUUAGAUCCCUCACCAGGUUCCUCUCAUCCACAAGCGCCAUUUCUUUCGAUUUGCUGCGAGCGAUUGAGAGAUGUCGUUGCUGGCAUCAAGUAAUCGAGCCCCAUGCUAUCCUGAAUCUAGUUGCCACUUAUUUUCUUUGAAUUUCUCUUCCUUGGGUGGUGGCUUAGGUGUCCGGAUGAGUGCGUGCAUGCGUUUGAUGCAGUCUCUACGGGUGCGGAUCCUCACUUACCUCGUUGACACUGGCAACACGGCUACGGUGAGCGCCAGGCAGAAAGCGCCGGCUGUGCUGCUCAACCUCGUCUAGCGGCCGUGGCAGAGAUGCUGAAGGUUGGGGGCGCGGAGGAGACGGUGGGGGAUCUCACGGAGGAUGGGACGCCGGUUCGUGUAUUUGCAGAACGAAAUCGUGCUACUGACUUACUGAGUUGUUACCCUCCACAUUUGUCGUGCUGUCGGACUCAUAUUAAAUUGUGGCCUUCUUUUUUGCAAAAAAAAAGCGACAACAUCUGACCUUUGUACUCUUGGUCUUCCAGCCUUUUUUUUACUUUGCUCCAGCAGAUUUCCUGUUCUUGCGGACAUCUUUUCCCUUCCUUUCUGUCAUACUUGCCACAUUUCAUUCUUCCUCUUGAGUCAUUUGAUAGUACAAUAGAUCUCAGUCUCCUCUUUUUGUCACUUUGUAGUUCACAUGAUGAUAACAGUUGGUCGUGGUGCCCAUCUUUGUUUACUGUAGCCCCAUUUCUAUCAUGUGGUUCCUCUUUCGCAAGCACCAGUUUACAUGACAUUUUGGUGAGAAGACAUUGGGCACCGUCUGACUUUGAGUUUUCGUGCCACAUGAAGCAGUUGGAUGUGGUAGUUGUGCAGUGGCAGUUCUUGCUAACUUCGAUAUUUGUCGGUGUCGAGUUGAGCAGCGAGUCUCCCAUUGCAUCAUCGUACCAGCUUCAUUUUUUCUUGGUGGUGUCAAGACUCAGGCAUUGAUUUCGUCCCAUUGGUUAUGUCCGUGUCGAGUUGAGCGGCAAGUCUCCCAUUGCAUCAUCGUACCAUCUUCAUUUUUCUUUGUGGUGUCAAGACUCAGGCAUUGAUUUCGACCCACUUGCUCCCUUCAAUUUCUUGUUUUUGGCUGAUUUAUUGGGCAUGUGUUUUAUGUGGACGACUGGUCUUGUUUAUAUUGGUUGAUGUGGCUAACACCGUGUUGAGUCCUGAUCCUAUAUUUGUCUUGCAUGCAUCUGUCCGGUUUUGGAUUGUCAGCAUGUGAGUUGUACUUACGUAUCCUUAUAUGCUUGGAUAUCCUUAUUUGUUGACCCAUCAUUGAGAAAGAAAACUA